AUAUCACUUUAAAUAUGAAAAUUGAUACAUGCACACAUAUGUAAUGAAAUUAAACUUGACUAAUGCAACAGCAGAGUGAAAGUCUCAUGAAUAUGGGAAGAAAUGUUACAAAUGUUCUGCAUCCUUUUGACACUACCAAUCCAAAGUGAUUAUUUCUAUGGGCAAUUUUUUAACGAGCUUUAGUUAAAUUAUGUUCUUGAUGAAUAACAGUGGCUCUGAAAUGUGGCGUAGGUGCACCACUACCGACUAACUCCAACACCAUGCUGACAGCCCGCCUUGCCGAUACCUACCCGCCCACACUUGGUCCUCUUGCCCAGGACACUGCAUAGCAGGCAACACAUAAACUUGAUCAUACAAACCUUAAUCAAUUUUCUGCUUGCAAAAUAAAAGAGCAUAUUCCUAAACCACAAAGAUGGGACAACGACCAUCUCUGUCAGAGGAGGUAGUGUAUGAUUAAAAAAUGGUAGUUUGUUGUAUUAAAAAAUUGUAGAAAUUGGGGUGGAAAUCCGUGGAUCUACCAUGUAAGGAAUAUACUGAACAUAAUUUGGUCUCACUAUUUGUAGAGCUUAGAGAACAACAAAGUAAUGCAGAAAACAAAACAUGGGACUGUACAUAUUCUAACACACCACUGCACCAUAUAGAUACAAGAUAGAUCAAUUAGAAGGGGCAACUUGUGCUCUGUUUAUGAGAGAAAUAAAUCAAAUAAUAUUGCAAGAGAUUGAAAAAUGAUGGCAAGAACAAAUCAAAUAAUAUUGCAAGAUACAACACAUUAUGAAAGAUCAUACCUCGACAAAGCAAACCAGGGACUGUAGAUCCACGGAUGGCCACCGCAAUUUCUACAAUUAUGCAAAAUAAAAUACAAGGUAAGAAAAUCACUGAAUUAUAACUGGAAACUGAAUUUUGCUCUGAACCAUAGCAUGCACUUGACAAAGUUAAAUACCCAGAAGGAAAAUAUCAUAUGCGGUAAAGAUCAUGGAGAGAUCGAAUUGAUUGGAGUCUCUACUAAACACUUAUCGGCUUCAUCAUAUGGCCAUUAUGCUUGCUUCUGACAAUUAUGCUUCUAACUAAAGUACAAAAGUAUCCAAUGAGAUCGGAAACGCGCCUUGGCGCGAGGGUGCCGGUUACAACGUUGUGACCAAGUACAUAAUGCACAAUUUGAUAGCUCAGUUGAUAAGAAAUCACAUAGGACUAAAAAAGUCACUACCUUUAACUAUGUAAUCACCUGGAAAAAAUUGCAUAAUUGUUAUGAUAAUCCUGCUGGUACAAACUAUGAUAGUUAGGAUAAUAACCUUGGUGCUUUCAUAUGAAAAAAAACACCAACAAUCAUGAGGCCCUUAAGGAAUCCGUAAGGUACACAGUUCACAUACAUAUUCUAGAUGCACCAAUUGAUGAGCAUACAAAACGAUUUGAAAUUUCCUCGCAAACAUAUAGAACGUGGAAGCAAACUGCAGAUAGAAGAGAAAUAAGGCAACAUGCAAAACAGAAACUGGCCUCACCAUGAUACCUGUUACUUUUGCGAUCAAGCGUUCGUGGCCCAAAAUUUCAAAAUGAAGCCUGAAGAUUCAGAUCAAUAAAAAGUACACUGUCACUGCUUGCACAGGCUAGCACCUCUGGAAUGAGAGAAAUAGAAGUCUUCCAACAGAAAACUAAGGUUGCGCCCUUGCUUUUUCACUUGAUUGGAGAUGAUAUUAGCCUCACUGCUGAUGAGUACGUGAAGUAACCCCUCUUUGUUGUACAGCCGAGAGAGCUCCAGACUUUCUUUUUCCUUUUUUUACCUUUAACUGUACUCACUCCGUGGAACAGCAGGGAUUCUGUUCUUCGCUUCAAAAAUGAAAAUUGUGUCUUCCAGUUAGAAGUCUCCAGAUUUGUUACGGUGUAAAGUUAUGUAGCAGAAAUCUUAACUCAUCUAUUAUUUAUGCUGACAGUAAAAUCAGUAUAGUUACAUAAUACUGAAGUGCAUCCUUAGAACAAAAAUAACAGGGAGGUCUGAAUGCCUAUAAAAAUGGAAAAUGACACCAUUGAAUAGACAAACUAAUAUAGAUUAUUUGGAAAAGUGUAUUUAUAUGGUCAUCGAAUAAUAAUUAAUUCAGAGUAGUAAAUAGAUGUCAGAGGAUCCUAAUUCUACAGUUUGUACUCCAGAUACCAACAAUGGCUUUUUCAGCAAAGUUGUAACAUAAUAAGGUAAUGAGGUAGCAUGAGAGUACGAUUAAUUCAGAGCAAUAUGAAUGGAAUAAUCCUGAAGACAAUCAUUAGUACAGAGCACAUAUGAUGAACAUUAAUUCAGAGCUAACCUUCCAUAAUACGACCCUGUUACAUCUCAUGCAGUACCUUCUUUGCUGCAGUUAUGUGACGCUGUAGUUUCUUCUUUUCGUUCCAAUCCUGUAACGUAAAAUAUUCAGAGAAGAAAUAUUACAAUUCAGUACUAAUUUAGUGUAACGAAAGUUGCAAAAGGGGUAAAAUGCUUCCAUGGCAGAAUCUGAAACAAUCAUGUUAACUACUACCACUGUCCUAUAAUAUAAGACGUUUUACAGUUCACAAUAUUUUGAAACCCUAAAUCAAUCCAUGAUAUUGUAGAGGUUUCUAACUAUAACCACCUUAGCUCUAUAAGGUUAACAUUAUGUGUGAUGAGAAAGAGUUGCAGUUGCAAUUAACAGAAUUAAAUUAAUUUUUGUGCCAUCGUAAAACUGGAGUGAUGUAAAUCAAGUCAACAACCUAUACAACGCAAUCUAUGCAACAGAAAUAUCUUUUUUCUAAGGAUUAGUGUCAAAUUGAUUUGCGAAAAAAACUUGGAUUUACAAUCUGCAACCCUAUGUUUGUCCCAUUUAUCCGAAAACUUCAAGCCAUGUUUGUGUGUAACAGCUGGUACACUAAUGCAGUAGGAUACCGUUGGAUCAAGAAAUGAGGUCAGAUCAUAUAUUGUUUCUAUUUGUAUAAGACUACAAAUUUUUUAAAUUCACGCAGCCAGUGAUAUUUUUGAGCACCAUGGAGGAGGAAGGGGAGAAGUGAGACCGACGAGGAGAGAACCACACGCCCUCCCCAGCUCGUAGAGGAAAACACCAGGGACUCGAUAUGCCGGUACUCCUCGCCACCCCCGGGAAACUCUUCAAACU
rnacentral:lncRNA from 1 species